UACGUAGGGGCCGAGCGUUGUCCGGAGUUAUUGGGCGUAAAGCGCGCGCAGGCGGCCUCGCGCGCCCGACGUGAAAGCCCCCGGCUUAACCGGGGAGGGUCGUUGGGGACGGCGGGGCUUGAGGGCGGGAGAGGUCGGUGGAAUUCCCGGUGUAGUGGUGAAAUGCGUAGAGAUCGGGAGGAACACCUGUGGCGAAGGCGGCCGACUGGGCUGACCCUGACGCUGAGGCGCGAAGGCGUGGGGAGCGAACGGG
rnacentral:rRNA from 1 species